CCUAUUAUUUUCUUUCUUAGCGCACUACAAUCAUGUCUUCCUGGCUGUAUCUCCUCCUGCUGGCGGCUUUGCUGGGAGGGAUCCAAUCUGAAAUACAGUUUCUUCAGUCUGGUCCACAAAUAAAAAGGCCUGGAGAAUCAAUACGAUUGACCUGUAAGGCAUCUGGAUAUAACUUCACUAACUAUAGGAUGAACUGGAUCAAACAGGCACCAGGAAAAGGACUGAACUGGGUGGGUACUAUUAGGACAGACAACUUUAAUACAUUCUAUGCUGAAGCUUUGAAAGCUCGAGUCACCAUCACCGUGGACACUUCCAUCAGCACCACAUUUCUGCAAUUGACAAACCUGAACACUGAUGAUACAGCUGUGUAUUAUUGUGGAAGGCACACAGUGGAGAAAACCACAUUCAUAGCCAUUCAUAAAUCCUCAGGAGGAAACUGGCUGCUUUGCUGGAUCCAAUCUGAAAUACAAUUUAUCCAGUCUGGUCCAGAAAUAAAAACACCUGGGGAAUCAAUAUGA